CUUGAUUUCCCCAAAAUCUUGCCGAAUCUUUAAUUGAAUCUCCUUGUGCUUUAGAUUGUGCCUUCAAAAUACCAAGGGAAAGGAAAAGAAAAGAAAGAAAAAAUGAAAGAGGAAGAAGACAAAGCCCCCAAAACCUAGAAUCCCCUAGAAAAUGACCAAAAUCGCGUCAAGUGAAAUUGUAAAAGAAAUCCCGAAAUUUACGUGAAAUAGACAAAAUUCGCCCAGCCGAAAAGCAAUGCGAGAGCGUGGGCAUUCGUCCCACGCGCUCAUCGUGAAAUCCUUUUGGUCUCAGUAAAUCAAAAAGGUCUCCCAUGCGCGCACACACGCGGGCAUUCUUCAUUUCUUUUCCCAACUUAAUCUUUCAUUUAAUUGUACACAAGGCUCCUCAACUUUGAUCAUGUACAAUCUAGUCCUCAAAACUUGAUUUUCAUAUCACUUUUGCCCUCCAAAAUUGAAACCUUAGGUCCCCAACUUUCGAAACUUGUGCACUUUGGUCUCCAACUUUACAUUUUUGUGCGCUUUUGGUCCUUUUCACUUCCUUUUGUCUCGUUAUCUUUGCUUCGGUUAUUUUUGGCCUACAAAAGCAAAUAUUACAUAAUUGUAAGUAGAAUUCCAUUAAUUUAAUCAAUAAAUAACAUAUUUAGAUAUUAAAUAAGUGCGUAAAAACACAUUUAUCACCUACCUUCGCCAAUUGGUUUUCAGAGUUACUGAAAUUUUGGAAACAGGAGCUUGGAGUUCCGAUGCUACGGAACAAGGUUCGAUUGGAAGAACAAAGUUCAUUCUUGGAAAUCCACAAAAGAUAAACGAUAUCGGGGAUUGGGAGCUAGUGUGAGCAACAAGCAGUCCAAAAGGGCCAAGGUCAUCAUGGAGAAGGUCAAAGGGGAUUAAGAGUUAGUUGGGCCUGGACCAUGCUAUAAGUCUUAUAGUUUAUAAUGGAUUAUU
rnacentral:lncRNA from 1 species